rnacentral:rRNA from 1 species
UACGUAGGGUGCAAGCGUUGUCCGGAAUUAUUGGGCGUAAAGAGCUCGUAGGCGGUCUGUUACGUCGGCUGUGAAAACCUGGGGCUCAACUCCGGGCCUGCAGCCGAUACGGGCAGACUAGAGUUCGGCAGGGGAGACUGGAAUUCCUGGUGUAGCGGUGAAAUGCGCAGAUAUCAGGAGGAACACCAGCGGCGAAGGCGGCGCGUCUGGGCUGGCACUGACACUGAGGAGCGAAAGCGUGGGGAGCGAACAGG